rnacentral:rRNA from 1 species
AGUGAACGCUGGCGGUAGGCCUAACACAUGCAAGUCGAACGGCAGCACAGUAAGAGCUUGCUCUUACGGGUGGCGAGUGGCGGACGGGUGAGGAAUACAUCGGAAUCUACUUUUUCGUGGGGGAUAACGUAGGGAAACUUACGCUAAUACCGCAUACGACCUACGGGUGAAAGCAGGGGAUCUUCGGACCUUGCGCGAUUGAAGGAGCCGAUGUCGGAUUAGCUAGUUGGCGGGGUAAAGGCCCACCAAGGCGACGAUCCGUAGCUGGUCUGAGAGGAUGAUCAGCCACACUGGAACUGAGACACGGUCCAGACUCCUACGGGAGGCAGCAGUGGGGAAUAUUGGACAAUGGGCGCAAGCCUGAUCCAGCCAUACCGCGUGGGUAAAGAAGGCCUUCGGGUUGUAAAGCCCUUUUGUUGGGAAAGAAAAGCAGCAGGUUAAUACCCCGCUGUUCUGACGGUACCCAAAGAAUAAGCACCGGCUAACUUCGUG